rnacentral:rRNA from 1 species
GGCGUGCUUAAGGUAUGCAAGUCGAAUGCCGAUUUAUCGGCAUGGCAGACGGGUGAGUAACGCGUGGGAACCAACCUCUGACACGGGAAUAACCCCGCGAAAGCGGGGCUAAUACCCGAUAGUCUCCCGAUUUAUCGGGAGUAAAGUUACGGCGGUCAGAGACGGGCCCGCGUCCCAUCAGCUAGUUGGUAGGGUAAUGGCUUACCAAGGCGAUGACGGGUAGGGGGUGUGAGAACUUGUCCCCCCACAAUGGCACUGAAAUACGGGCCAUACUCCUACGGGAGGCAGCAAUCGGGAAUAUUGCGCAAUGGACGCAAGUCUGACGCAGCGACGCCGCGUGGAGGAUGAAGGCUUUCGAGUUGUAAACUCCUGUUAAACAGUCACGGCAAACUACGUGCCAGCAGCAGCGGUCAAACGUAGGUGGCAAGCGUUGCCCGGUAUUAUUGGGCGUAAAGCGUACGUAGGCGUUUCUUAAAGUUUCAAGUGAAAUCCCUCUGCUCAACGGAGGAAGUGCUUGAAAUACUUGAGAAAUCGAGGUAGGUAGAGGAAAGCGGAAUUCCGGGAGGAGGGGUGAAAUCCUAUGAUCCCCGGGAGAACACCAAAGGCGAAGGCAGCUUUCUGGGCUUUACCUGACGCUGAGGUACGAAAGCGUGGGUAGCGAAACGGAUUAGAUACCCGUGUAGUCCACGCCCUAAACGAUGCCCGCUAAAUAUUGGACCCGAUGUUACAUCGGGUUCAGUGUUGCAGCUAACGCAUUAAGCGGGCCGCCUGGGAAUUACGGUCGCAAGGCUAAAACUCAAAGGAAUUGGCGGGGACCCGCACAAGCGGUGGAGCGUGUGGUUUAAUUCGAUGAUAACCGAAGAACCUUACCAGGGCUUGACAUGCCCGUCGUACUCUGAUGAAAGUCAGGGGUCAGUUCGGCUGGACGGUGCACAGGUGUUGCAUGGCUGUCGUCAGCUCGAGUCGUGAGAUGUAUGGUUAAGUCCCAUAUCGAGCGCAACCCCUGCGCUGUGUUAGAAUCUCGACUUGUCGAGAUGAUGUCACAGGGGACUGCCUCGGAAACGGGGAGGAAGGUGGGGACGACGUCAAGUCAGUAUUGCCCUUAUGUCCUGGGCUACACACGCGCUACAAUGGUCGGUACAAUGGGUUGCCAACCCGUAAGGGGGAGCUAAUCCCUAAAGCCGGUCUCAGUUCGGAUUGGGGUCUGAAACUCGACCCCAUGAAGUCGGAAUCGCUAGUAAUCGCCGGUCAGCUAUACGGCGGUGAAUACGUUCUCGGGUCUCGCACACACCGCCCGUCAAUUGGGGAAAGUUGGGAAUGCCCGAAUUCCGAGUUUAUCUCGGGGGAAGGCAGGCUCAGCGAU